ACCGGCGCACGGGUGAGUAACGCGUAUGUAACCUGCCCUCAACAGGGGGAUAGCCCGUGGAAACAUGGAUUAAUACCCCAUAAAGCAGGGGUGUCGCCUGGCACUAUUUGCUAAAGUUCCGACGGUUGAGGAGGGGCAUGCGUCUGAUUAGCUAGUUGGUAGGGUAACGGCCUACCAAGGCGACGAUCAGUAGGGGAUCUGAGAGGAUGAUCCCCCACACUGGUACUGAGAUACGGACCAGACUCCUACGGGAGGCAGCAGUAGGGAAUAUUGGGCAAUGGGCGCAAGCCUGACCCAGCCAUGCCGCGUGCAGGAUGAAGGCCUUCUGGGUUGUAAACUGCUUUUCUACAGGAAGAAACGCUCUCUGCGGAGAGAAUCGACGGUACUGUAGGAAUAAGCACCGGCUAACUCCGUGCCAGCAGCCGCGGUAAUACGGAGGGUGCAAGCGUUGUCCGGAUUUACUGGGUUUAAAGGGUGCGUAGGCGGAAAAUUAAGUCAGUGGUGAAAGCCUGCGGCUCAACCGCAGAAGUGCCAUUGAUACUGGUUUUCUUGAGUGCAGUGGAGGUAGGCGGAAUUUAUGGUGUAGCGGUGAAAUGCAUAGAUACCAUAAAGAACACCAAUAGCGUAGGCAGCUUACUACGCUGUAACUGACGCUGAGGCACGAAAGCGUGGGGAUCAAACAGGAUUAGAUACCCUGGUAGUCCACGCUGUAAGCGAUGAAGACUCGCUGUUGGCGAUAUACUGUCAGCGGCCAAGUAAAAGCGUUAA
rnacentral:rRNA from 1 species